rnacentral:rRNA from 1 species
GAUGAACGCUGGCGGCGUGCCUAAUACAUGCAAGUCGAGCGAACAGACGAGGAGCUUGCUCCUCUGACGUUAGCGGCGGACGGGUGAGUAACACGUGGAUAACCUACUUAUAAGACUGGGAUAACUUCGGGAAACCGGAGCUAAUACCGGAUAAUAUAUUGAACCGCAUGGUUCAUUAGUGAAAGACGGUUUUGCUGUCACUUAUAGAUGGAUCCGCGCCGCAUUAGCUAGUUGGUAAGGUAACGGCUUACCAAGGCAACGAUGCGUAGCCGACCUGAGAGGGUGAUCGGCCACACUGGAACUUAGACACGGUCCAGACUCCUACGGGAGGCAGCAGUAGGGAAUCUUCCGCAAUGGGCGAAAGCCUGACGGAGCAACGCCGCGUGAGUGAUGAAGGUCUUCGGAUCGUAAAACUCUGUUAUUAGGGAAGAACAAAUGUGUAAGUAACUAUGCACGUCUUGACGGUACCUAAUCAGAAAGCCACGGCUAACUACGUG